rnacentral:rRNA from 1 species
UGGGGAAUAUUGCACAAUGGGCGCAAGCCUGAUGCAGCCAUGCCGCGUGUAUGAAGAAGGCCUUCGGGUUGUAAAGUACUUUCAGCGGGGAGGAAGGUGUUGUGGUUAAUAACCACAGCAAUUGACGUUACCCGCAGAAGAAGCACCGGCUAACUCCGUGCCAGCAGCCGCGGUAAUACGGGGGGUGCAAGCGUUAAUCGGAAUUACUGGGCGUAAAGCGCACGCAGGCGGUCUGUCAAGUCGGAUGUGAAAUCCCCGGGCUCAACCUGGGAACUGCAUCCGAAACUGGCAGGCUUGAGUCUUGUAGAGGGGGGUAGAAUUCCAGGUGUAGCGGUGAAAUGCGUAGAGAUCUGGAGGAAUACCGGUGGCGAAGGCGGCCCCCUGGACAAAGACUGACGCUCAGGUGCGAAAGCGUGGGGAGCAAACA